rnacentral:misc_RNA from 1 species
GAAAUGCGAUAAGUAAUGUGAAUUGCAGAAUUCAGUGAAUCAUCGAAUCUUUGAACGCACAUUGCGCCCGCCAGUAUUCUGGCGGGCAUGCCUGUUCGAGCGUCAUUUCAACCCUCAAGCCCCCGCGGUUUGGUGUUGGGGGCCGGCGAUUGUCAGCUGGGCCGCUCAGGCGGUUCCCUGCGGCGCCGCCCCCGAAAUGAAUUGGCGGCCCCGUCGCGGCCUCCUCUGCGUAGUAGCACAACCUCGCAACAGGAGCGCGGCGCGGCCACUGCCGUAAAACGCACAAACUUCUCCAAGAGUUGACCUCGAAUCAGGUAGGAAAUACCCGCUGAACUUAA